UGUCUCCUCCACCCUCCUCCUAAGGUGGAUUAAGCCCGAACUGCCAGUUCGGGCUUUUUUUC
rnacentral:ncRNA from 1 species